AGAUAGCCGGUCAAAUUUUUGG
rnacentral:siRNA from 1 species